rnacentral:rRNA from 1 species
GGGUGGAUCAGUGGCGAACGGGUGAGUAACACGUGAGCAACCUGCCCUCCACUUCGGGAUAAGCCUUGGAAACGAGGUCUAAUACCGGAUAUGAGCGCCUGCCGCAUGGUGGGUGUUGGAAAGUUUUUCGGUGGGGGAUGGGCUCGCGGCCUAUCAGCUUGUUGGUGGGGUGAUGGCCUACCAAGGCGUCGACGGGUAGCCGGCCUGAGAGGGCGACCGGCCACACUGGGACUGAGACACGGCCCAGACUCCUACGGGAGGCAGCAGUGGGGAAUAUUGCACAAUGGGCGAAAGCCUGAUGCAGCGACGCCGCGUGAGGGAUGACGGCCUUCGGGUUGUAAACCUCUUUCAGCAGGGAAGAAGGCUUCGGUUGACGGUACCUGCAGAAGAAGCGCCGGCUAACUACGUGCCAGCAGCCGCGGUAAUACGUAGGGCGCAAGCGUUGUCCGGAAUUAUUGGGCGUAAAGAGCUCGUAGGCGGUUUGUCACGUCUGGUGUGAAAACCCGAGGCUCAACCUCGGGCUUGCAUCGGGUACGGGCAGACUAGAGUGCGGUAGGGGAGACUGGAAUUCCUGGUGUAGCGGUGGAAUGCGCAGAUAUCAGGAGGAACACCGAUGGCGAAGGCAGGUCUCUGGGCCGCAACUGACGCUGAGGAGCGAAAGCAUGGGGAGCGAACAGGAUUAGAUACCCUGGUAGUCCAUGCCGUAAACGUUGGGCACUAGGUGUGGGGCUCAUUCCACGAGUUCCGUGCCGCAGCUAACGCAUUAAGUGCCCCGCCUGGGGAGUACGGCCGCAAGGCUAAAACUCAAAGGAAUUGACGGGGGCCCGCACAAGCGGCGGAGCAUGCGGAUUAAUUCGAUGCAACGCGAAGAACCUUACCAAGGCUUGACAUGCACCGGACGCUGCCAGAAGAUGGUGGUUCCGCAAGGUCGGUGCACAGGUGGGUGCAUGGGUUGUCGUCAGCUUCGUGUCGUGGAGAUGUUGGGGUUAAGUCCCCGCAACGAG